rnacentral:lncRNA from 1 species
GGGACUAGAGAUGUAGUUACCCUUGGAGAGAAUUAUGAACCCUAAGAAGGUGUUCAAGUAGAGUGCUUGAUCUCUCCUUUCUUGCUUAUCCACUAUGGCUCUCCAAUAGGUAAAAUAGUGUGCAACUCACCAAAGCUCUUCACCAAGGAUGGAUGGAGAUGAGAGAUAGAGAACUUGGGAGAGUACAAGGGUGCUAGCUCUUGCUCUCCGAAGGCCAAGGGCGACUUGAGAGAAAAAGGUUUGAUGUAUCUUCUCUUCCAAUUUUCCAACUUGAAAACCCUAAAUGAAAUGGUGCUAUGACAUCUAAUUUAUAGAUCCAUAUUGUGACACAUCUCCGCACCCUCCCUUUGGUAGGCCUAAUUUUGGGUU